rnacentral:lncRNA from 1 species
AUGCCGCGGCCCGCGUGCGCCCGCUCCGGGGACUGCGCCUGCGCGGCCGGCCCUCACGGAGCCCGGGGAAGGUUGCGCCUGCGCAGUCGGCCCAACCCAGCCCUGGGGGCGGGGCGACGCCUGUGGAAUCGCCCCUUCAGCGGCGCCUCGGCACCUAGAGCCGCCCGUCCGGCCGGGCCCCGGGGAGAGGCGGGCGUGCGGGCAUUGCGCCUGCGCGCGCCGGCCCCGCCCCCGGCCCCGCCCCGGCCGCGCGGGGCCCUGGGAGGGGUGCAGCGUCCGGCGGCUGCGGCGGCGGCGCGGGAGGGGCCGGGGGCGGACAAAGCCGUGGCCGAUGAAUGGGGCGCGUCCGCCUGCGCGGCCGUGGGGUCCCCGCGCGCCCAGGCCUCCCGUCUCGCCUGAGGAACGCGCUUGGUCGUCUGCUGACUCACACGGGACUCAAGCGGUUCGUUAGAGAAGCUGGGUGGUCUGUCCUGCUGCAGAAGCCCCGUGGUCUGGAUUCUGCUGAUGUCCUCCCGCUGGCGGUACUGAGCUAGGUUCCUCCAGCCCUCCUCACUGUUAUCUCUGUGCUUUUUCUUAUUUUUAGCACUUUUUUUUUCUCUUUA